GCUGCGGGUCCAGGAGGCAUCCCAGGGUCAUUCCUUACAACUCAUUGUUUUCAAUGGAAUAUUAGCCAUGUGCCUUCAGACCUCCUCAGGAAACUCAGGCAUCAAAUCUUGUUAUAUACACUUUUCCUGGCAGCCCAAUCUUAUGGACAGAGGAGGCUCCACACAGGUCAUUCCUUACAACUCAUUGUUUUCAAUGGAAUAUUAGCCAUGUGCCUUCAGACCUCCUCAGGAAACUCAGGCAUCAAAUCUUGUUAUAUACACUUUUCCUGGCAGCCCAAUCUUAUGGACAGAGGAGGCUCCACACAGGAAGAAGAUAGAAGGGCAUCAGGACUAGGACUGACAGACUGAGUAACAGCUUCUUCCUUCAGGCUGUAAGACAAACAAAUACCCUGCCACCACUGAGGUCUUGUCAUUAGACUUUUAAAAAUAGUACCAUCAGACUUCAACGGGCCUCACUAUCUUUGCUGUUCACCAGUUGUCUUUGCUGAGAUACAGAAUAGCAAGGGCCAGAAGACACAAGUGAACAGGAUAUAGUAUGAUAAUGCUGAGAUACUGAUGACUCCCAUCUCUC